rnacentral:rRNA from 1 species
GUGGGGAAUAUUGGACAAUGGGCGCAAGCCUGAUCCAGCCAUGCCGCGUGAGUGAUGAAGGCCCUAGGGUUGUAAAGCUCUUUCACCGAUGAAGAUAAUGACGGUACCCCGCGAAUAAGCCCCGGCUAACUACGUGCCAGCAGCCGCGGUAAUACGUAGGGGGCGAGCGUUGCUCGGAUUGACUGGGCGUAAAGCGCGCGUAGGCGGUCCAUUAAGUGUGCGGUGAAAUUCGGAGGCUCAACCUCCGUCCCGCCGCGCAAACUGAUGGUCUUGAGAUUGGGAGGGGGAUGCGGAAUUCCUGGUGUAGCGGUGAAAUGCAUUGAUAUCAGGAGGAACACCGGCGGCGAAAGCGGCAUCCUGGCUUAUAUCUGACGCUGAGGCGCGAAAGCGUGGGUAGCAAACGGGAUUAGAAACCCUGGUAGUCC